rnacentral:lncRNA from 1 species
UUAUAAGUAAAACGUAGGUGUAUGAAUAUGAAUUUAAGUAUCACGUAAAUGUAUAAUUGUGAGUGUGUGUAUAAACGUAAAACGUAUGAGUUUUGAAUCGUGAGUAUAACAUAAAUGCGUAAGUGUGAACAUAAGUGAAAGCAUAAAAUGUAUAAGUAUGGACGUAGGGAUUAAUGAUUUUGUUUAUAAUAUAAAAUUAAAAUACAUGAGUUUAUGCGCAUAAAAGGUUUAAAGUUUUGAAUAUGAAAGGAAAAAGAGAACGAGUGACACGCGUGAGAUUGUUGUGAGUAUACUUGACCCAUUUUCUUUUUACACGUUUGGGUGUAGUAUGCAUUUCCUUAUCAAAAACACAAUGAUAAACACUUUCAUUGCACAAUCUAUC